rnacentral:rRNA from 1 species
GGAGUAGCAAUACUCCCGCCGGCGACCGGCGCACGGGUGAGUAACACGUAUGAAACCUGCCCGUAGCAGGGGGGGAUAAGCGGAAGAAAUUCCGUCUAAUACCGCGUAACAACCCUUGGAGGCAUCUCCUCGGGUUUAAAGGAAGCGAUUCCGGCUACGGAUGGUCAUGCGUCGCAUUAGCUGGUUGGCGGGGUAACGGCCCACCAAGGCGACGAUGCGUAGGGGUUCUGAGAGGAAGGUCCCCCACACUGGUACUGAGACACGGACCAGACUCCUACGGGAGGCAGCAGUGAGGAAUAUUGGUCAAUGGCCGCAGGGCUGAACCAGCCAAGUCGCGUGAGGGAUGACGGUCCUAUGGAUUGUAAACCUCUUUUGUCAGGGAGCAAAGGGCGCCACGUGUGGCGCUUUGCGAGUACCUGAAGAAAAAGCAUCGGCUAACUCCGUGCCAGCAGCCGCGGUAAUACGGAGGAUGCGAGCGUUAUCCGGAUUUAUUGGGUUUAAAGGGUGCGCAGGCGGAAUGUCAAGUCAGCGGUAAAAUUUCGGGGCUCAACCCCGUCGUGCCGUUGAAACUGGCGUUCUUGAGUGAGCGAGAAGUAUGCGGAAUGCGUGGUGUAGCGGUGAAAUGCAUAGAUAUCACGCAGAACUCCGAUUGCGAAGGCAGCAUACCGGCGCCCGACUGACGCUGAGGCACGAAAGCGUGGGGAUCGAACAGGAUUAGAUACCCUGGUAGUCCACGCAGUAAACGAUGAAU